rnacentral:sRNA from 2 species
CCUCCGGGGGCAAGAGGUUCGACUCGAGCGAAGCGAGAGAACGUUGCGCCAGCAACGGCCCGCAGGGCGAGCCACGCAGUGGCGAGUCAUCCUCUAUCACCGACCA